GGUGGAAACGCGCCAUAACAGAGGAAUCUGAAAUAUCGCAAGUCAUACUACACGUUAAUAUGAUUUAUAGGCAGAGAUGAGAAGGGCAGAGUUGGAAAGCUAAUGCAAAAAUGUGUUUCUUAUUUUAUAGGUUUGGUCAAGGUACAGUGACCCAAAGUAGGCCAUGUCGUUUGUGAAAGCUGCCUCGGAGAGCUGUUCACCUGUCCGGUGUAGGCCUACAAGAAAAUCUGUGAGGUCAAGCGACAACGGAUGAUGGGCACUUAUGUGCCAUAUAAUCAGAGUCCUUACAGAAACUGUAACUACGCCGAACAGUGGAGAGCCAGCCCAUUGCAGGUAGUACACCCGUUUGCGAAGCCAGCCCAUUGUAGGUAGUACACCUGUUGGCGGAGCCAGCCCAUAGUAGGUAGUAGCCUACAGCCGUUGGCGGAGCCAGCCCCUUGCAGGUAGUACACCCCGGAGCCAGCUCAUUGUGCGUCGUUCUUCCAAGUAGCAACGGUAUUGAUUUAACCAUAUAAAAUCUGGAAUUAGUUGACCAUUUCAACAUAUUUUCCUAUUUUUCAUGGAAACCUAGAUCUUCAAGACCCUGCGUGCCGCUCCAGGUUUUCAAGUAGGCUAUUGCACCUCCAGGAGGCGUGCUAGGAAUUUUCUGGAUCCUGCGAUUGUCCACAAAUGGAAGACUGAUGACUGAUGAGAGUCUUUUCCAGAAGUUACCCCAGGGUGGAAAGAUUGCAAUUUGCAGAGAUAUGCUGGCAGAUUCCCUAGGGCACUUUCUUUAGGGCACAAAGUAUGGCAAUUACAGUUUGAUGCAUAUGGAGAGUUACACCAUUAUAGACCUUCAGCUUGUUCAGGUGAUUCACACUUUAUUUUUUGUCAGGAUUACAACAUGUUGAACCAUGAAUCAGGAUUACUAUGCGUCAUGUUCAUCUCAUCUGCAAUUUUAUGAACUCGCCAGCAGAGCAAUGAGGUAGGUGGUAGUUACCACAUGGAGAAGGAGGUAAUGAAGAUAAACUUAGAUCUUCUGGAGCACAAUGUUUUGGAUGUGGACUACAUAGUUACUGAGUGUCAUCCACAGAUACAAAAGUAUUUUGGGGAACGCAAGGUCAAACUACUACGACGUGUGGCACUUUGAGAAAGCUUGUUGUUUAACAAUGAUCAUGUGUUGACUAUUACUAGAAUCGACUAUGAAAAUAGCAUUGGUUGCAGCCAUAAAUGUCUUUUACUUUAUGUAAUGUAAUUACUUUAUUUCAAUAUAUACUUUUCGAUCAGGUUUGUAGAAGAAACUGGGCAAACAUGCGCAAUCCAAGGACUGAGGUUUUGAAGAAGUGGCUGCGCAGAAGGGCUGCAAGAUUAUAGCCAAAAUGAUUAUCACGAUUAUUUUGAUCAAUAUUGAUAUGUAUAUAUAUAUAUAUAAUAAAUGUUCUCAUUCUGA